rnacentral:rRNA from 1 species
GAUGAACGCUGGCGGCGUGCCUAAUACAUGCAAGUCGAGCGAACAGACGAGGAGCUUGCUCCUCUGACGUUAGCGGCGGACGGGUGAGUAACACGUGGAUAACCUACAUAUAAGACUGGGAUAACUUCGGGAAACCGGAGCUAAUACCGGAUAAUAUAUUGAACCGCAUGGUUCAAUAGUGAAAGACGGUUUUGCUGUCACUUAUAGAUGGAUCCGCGCCGCAUUAGCUAGUUGGUAAGGUAACGGCUUACCAAGGCAACGAGGCGUAGCCGACCUGAGAGGGGGAUCGGCCACACUGGAACUGGGACACGGUCCAGACUCCUACGGGAGGCAGCAGUAGGGAAUCUUCCGCAAUGGGCGAAAGCCUGACGGAGCAACGCCGCGUGAGUGAUGAAGGUCUUCGGAUCGUAAAACUCUGUUAUUAGGGAAGAACAAAUGUGUAAGUAACUAUGCACGUCUUGACGGUACCUAAUCAGAAAGCCACGGCUAACUACGUG